rnacentral:rRNA from 1 species
UGCAGUCGACGGAAUCUUUCGGGAUUUAGUGGCGGACGGGUGAGUAACGCGUGAGAAUCUGCCUUCAGGUUCGGGACAACAGCUGGAAACGGCUGCUAAUACCGGAUGUGCCGAGAGGUGAAAGCUUUAGUGCCUGGAGAUGAGCUCGCGUCUGAUUAGCUAGUAGGAGUGGUAACGGCACCCCUAGGCGACGAUCAGUAGCUGGUCUGAGAGGAUGAUCAGCCACACUGGGACUGAGACACGGCCCAGACUCCUACGGGAGGCAGCAGUGGGGAAUUUUCCGCAAUGGGCGCAAGCCUGACGGAGCAAGACCGCGUGAGGGAAGAAGGUCUGUGGAUUGUAAACCUCUUUUGACAGGGAAGAAGACAGUGACGGUACCUGUCGAAUCAGCCUCGGCUAACUCCGUGCCAGCAGCCGCGGUAAUACGGAGGAGGCAAGCGUUAUCCGGAAUUAUUGGGCGUAAAGAGUCCGUAGGUGGGUCACCCAGUCAGCUGUUAAAUAGUGAAGCUUAACUUCAUAGAGGCGGCUGAAACUGGUGGUCUAGAGUGUGGUAGGGGUAGAGGGAAUUUCCAGUGUAGCGGUGAAAUGCGUAGAUAUUGGAAAGAACACCGGUGGCGAAAGCGCUCUACUGGGCCUGCACUGACACUGAGGGACGAAAGCUAGGGGAGCGAAAGGGAUUAGAUACCCCUGUAGUCCUAGCCGUAAACGAUGGAUACUAGGCGUUGCCCGUAUCGACCCGGGCAGUGUCGUAGCCAACGCGUUAAGUAUCCCGCCUGGGGAGUACGCUCGCAGAGUGAAACUCAAAGGAUGA